AUUGAACGCUGGCGGCAGGCUUAACACAUGCAAGUCGAGCGGGGUGAUGGUGCUUGCACUAUCACUUAGCGGCGGACGGGCGAGUAAUGCUUAGGAAUCUGCCUAUUAGUGGGGGACAACAUCUCGAAAGGGAUGCUAAUACCGCAUACGUCCUACGGGAGAAAGCAGGGGAUCACUUGUGACCUUGCGCUAAUAGAUGAGCCUAAGUCGGAUUAGCUAGUUGGUGGGGUAAAGGCCUACCAAGGCGACGAUCUGUAGCGGGUCUGAGAGGAUGAUCCGCCACACUGGGACUGAGACACGGCCCAGACUCCUACGGGAGGCAGCAGUGGGGAAUAUUGGACAAUGGGGGGAACCCUGAUCCAGCCAUGCCGCGUGUGUGAAGAAGGCCUUAUGGUUGUAAAGCACUUUAAGCGAGGAGGAGGCUCUUUUGGUUCAUACCCAAGAUGAGUGGACGUUACUCGCAGAAUAAGCACCGGCUAACUCUGUGCCAGCAGCCGCCGUAA
rnacentral:rRNA from 1 species